AGUGAACGCUGGCGGCAGGCCUAACACAUGCAAGUCGAGCGGCAGCGCGGGGGCAACCCUGGCGGCGAGCGGCGGACGGGUGAGGAAUUCGUCGGAAUCUGCCUUUUUGUGGGGGAUAACGUAGGGAAACUUACGCUAAUACCGCAUACGUCCUACGGGAGAAAGUGGGGGACCGCAAGGCCUCACGCAGAAAGAUGAGCCGACGACCGAUUAGCUAGUUGGUGGGGUAAAGGCCCACCAAGGCGACGAUCGGUAGCUGGUCUGAGAGGAUGAUCAGCCAAGCGGGGGCGGACACCACGCCAAGUCUCCGAGGGGGGGCAGCAGUGGGAAUGAGUGAGCAGUGGACGUACGCCUGCACCGGCGAGGCGGUGGGUGUGAAGAAGGCUGUCGGGUUAUAAAGAACUUUGGCACGAAAACAACUCCGGGGAUCUAAUACUUGGGGGGUAUUGUCGUACAAAAAGAAAAAGCAGCGGCUAACUGCGGCACAGCGGCGGCGGUAAUAGAUAGGAAGAGCCUCGCUUCAAC
rnacentral:rRNA from 1 species